GACGAACGCUGGCGGCGUGCUUAACACAUGCAAGUCGAACGGAAAGGCCCUGCUUUUGUGGGGUGCUCGAGUGGCGAACGGGUGAGUAACACGUGAGUAACCUGCCCUUGACUUUGGGAUAACUUCAGGAAACUGGGGCUAAUACCGGAUAGGAGCUCCUGCUGCAUGGUGGGGGUUGGAAAGUUUCGGCGGUUGGGGAUGGACUCGCGGCUUAUCAGCUUGUUGGUGGGGUAGUGGCUUACCAAGGCUUUGACGGGUAGCCGGCCUGAGAGGGUGGCCGGCCACAUUGGGACUGGGAUACGGCCCCGCCUCCUACGGGCCGCCGCAGUGGGGAAUAUUGCACAAUGGGCGGCAGCCUGAUGCAGCAACGCCGCGUGCGGGAUGCCGGCCUUCGGGUUGUAGACCGCUUUCGCAUGUGACGAAGCGUGAGUGACGGUAAUGGGUAAAGAAGCACCGCCUAACUACGUG
rnacentral:rRNA from 1 species